GCGGCGGCGGGGCGGCCGCGGGGCGGGCGGGCGGCGGCGGCGGCGGCGGCGGGGCGGCCGCGCGCCAACCCCCUUGUCCGCGG
rnacentral:miRNA from 1 species